AUGGAGCCAACCAGUGAGUUGAAGAACCCGAAUACCAGCAUGUCCACUGACCCUAGCAUAGAUAUCCGGGUCGCGACUGAAGAAGCAUUAAAUGAGCUGACCCAAGCUUUUAUUCCUGGAUACAUGACAGAAAUCCAGGGAUCCACGGUGAAGGAACUUGACAAUCUGUUAACAGACUUCACUGCUGACGCCCUAACCCAGUCCUUGAAGGAAAAGGAUAAGAUGAAAAUGCUGGGACGAAUGGCCAUAAUAAUGUCCAUCCAAUUAAAACAAACACACCAACUACUAGAGAGAGCCAAUAAAAAAUUAGAUACCCGCAAACAACAAAACACCCAACUACAUGAAAAAAAUAACCUUCUUGAACACCUCCUGGAAAUGUCAAAACGGGAUCAAGCAGAAUCAGUAGCCAAAUCCAGUGAAUUAGCCGCUGAUUUUCAAACAGAAAAGGAGGAUUUAGAAAAUGAAAAUCAUGAAUUAAAACAAUCCCUCCUGCAAUGUGAGCAAGAGCUCACUACUGCUCAACAACGGCUUGAAGAAGAACGAAUAGAUCAAAACAAAACACAAACUUUGCUCUCCCAAACUACGGAGGAGAAUGAUGACCUAAAAUCCAAAAACAAAAUUCUUGAGAGACAUCUAGAGAAGGAACAACAAGUGAACCAACACUUGCGGUGUCAAUUGAUUGUUGCUGAAAACAAAACAUGCGAAAUUAAACGCCUCCAAGAAAAACAUGAGAAAGAAUUAGCCAAGGUUAAAAGAGAUCUUGAUUAUUCUUUUGAAAUAGGGAAGACACACACUUCCCAUGAUGCCUUUUACCAGCAAACAAGAAGGGAAGCAAUUUCCUUUGACGUCCCAUAGUCAUAGGACAGGUUUUCCCCUUCGAUUUUAUAAGGGGAUACAAAAAAAAAAAAAGUAGAGAAGCACCAGUCUACUCAUGGGAUUAGAAUGUUCCACAGGUUCCUGUCUGCCAUCCGUGGAUGCCUGGAAGUACCUCACGAUGAUCUCCAUCUUCAUUCGAUCAGCGUGAGCUAAGUGGGGGAAUAUGUAGCAAUCCACGUCUGGACUGAGGUAACCUGACCUACAUGUGAACUUAACUCCCUCCUUUGAAGAGCCCCUAUGUCCCUUUCAGUCCCCAGAGAUAAGGGACCCUGAAUCUUUCUCCACAACAGGAGACUGGCUUCUAUCACCACAGGCACCAAUUGACGCCAACAUCUCAAAGGUCCAUAUCAAAGAACCAUGAGUCCACUUUGUUGAUCUACCUGUAAAUCCCUCAGGAUUCUACCUCUGCUUAUCAUGCCAAAAGGAGAGGCUGUCACAUUUAUUACCGAGCCGUCCUCAUCAAUCGCGGGCGACGAUUCCUGGCCCAGAGGCCGUGGCACCUGGACCAGAGAGGGCACGCCUGCUCAACCGAACCGGUAACGGGAAACGCUGCACAGCGGCUACAGCUCCAAACUAAGGCAAGACGAACAUCUCUAAUCCUCUGAGAAUUCUGGUGUUUCUCAAAGCGCUAAAAUUGAACAUUCCAAAUUGAUUAGUUAUCCUUAGAUUUGAAUUAGUUAGAGACAAAUACUCUUUUCUCUUGAUCAAAGCCAUCACACACUCAGGUCUUGACCAUUCUUUGGGUCUUCACUCAUUGAUUCAUUCACUGUUCAUCAUCUCAUUCUGAUCGUUCUCUCAUUUUCUAUUCUGUUUAUUUGAGUAUUUCCAUAUUAUGUUAUUCAUAUAUCCAGUAGUGUUAGAUUAAUAAAACGUUAAAAGGAAUCUGGUUUUGUGUGCA
ensembl:lncRNA